AUGAACGCUGGCGGCGUGCCUAAUACAUGCAAGUCGAGCGAACAGAUGAGGAGCUUGCUCCUCUGACGUUAGCGGCGGACGGGUGAGUAACACGUGGAUAACCUACCUAUAAGACUGGGAUAACUUCGGGAAACCGGGGCUAAUACCGGAUAAUAUAUUGAACCGCAUGGUUCAAUAGUGAAAGACGGUUUUGCUGUCACUUAUAGAUGGAUCCGCGCCGCAUUAGCUAGUUGGUAAGGUAACGGCUUACCAAGGCAACGAUGCGUAGCCGACCUGAGAGGGUGAUCGGCCACACUGGAACUGAGACACGGUCCAGACUCCUACGGGAGGCAGCAGUAGGGAAUCUUCCGCAAUGGGCGAAAGCCUGACGGAGCAACGCCGCGUGAGUGAUGAAGGUCUUCGGAUCGUAAAACUCUGUUAUUAGGGAAGAACAAAUGUGUAAGUAACUAUGCACGUCUUGACGGUACCUAAUCAGAAAGCCACGGCUAACUACGUG
rnacentral:rRNA from 1 species